rnacentral:rRNA from 1 species
GAUGAACGCUGGCGGCGUGCCUAAUACAUGCAAGUCGAGCGAAGCGGGGACGGGUGAGUAACACGUGGAUAACCACCUAUAAGACUGGGAUAAUUUCGGGAAACCGUAGCUAAACGGGAUAUUUAUAGAUGGAUCCGCGCUGCAUUAGCUAUUGGGUAAGGUAACGGGUUACCCAGGCAACGAUGCAUAGCCGACCUGAGCGGGUGAGCGGCCACACAGGGACUGAGUCACGGGCGAGAAACCUACGAUAGGCAGCAGUAGGAAAUCUUCCGGAAUGGGCGAAAGCCGGACUGAUGAAAACCGCGUGAGGUAUGAAGGUCUUCGGAUCGUGAGACUCAGUUGUUAGGGUAGCGGUACCUAAUCAGAAAGGCACGGCGAACUACGUGCCAGCAGCCGCGGUAAUAC